CCAACCAUAGCUCAGUUGAUAGAGCGGAGAAAUUUAGAUUUAAUUGCUGAUAUUCUUAGGUCACUAAUUCGAAUCUAGUUGGUUGGA
rnacentral:tRNA from 1 species